AAGCCAUCACUGGGAUCUACACCAUACCCGCCUGGCACCUUGAAAGGCUACCUACAGCAGCAAAAAGUCGUGCCCCCCGGGAUCUCCGGAUGUGCAGUGUGGUUCCCCCUGAAGCAUAGCCAUGCUAGUGGAGGAGGAAAUUAGCAUGAUCAACGGGCAUGCAGAGGUCGAACCUGACCUGCACAAAACCCACUCUGAUUCCUCCUCUACCA